rnacentral:rRNA from 1 species
AGGACGAACGCUGGCGGCGUGCUUAACACAUGCAAGUCGAACGAGGUUCAAGGGUUAGCAAUAACCUGGAAAACCUAGUGGCGAACGGGUGAGUAACACGUGAGGAACCUACCCCGGACUCAGGGAUAACGGCUGGAAACGGCUGCUAAUACCUGAUGCCGUCGGAGCAUCACAUGGUGCACUGACGAAAGAAUCUCGGUUCGGGAGGUCUCGCGGCCUAUCAGCUA